GGGGGCGAUCGGUAUCGACGAGAUAUGAGACAUGUCGGACUGCACGCGGAGGAUGAAAGUUCCCUCCUUAAUCAUCUUUCAUACCUAUAGUUGCCGAUUACGGCUACAUGGCAGCAGCUUAGACUAUUGCCCGUUCCGGAUUGAAUACGCCUUUGGUUUAAUCUAGGAGCGUCACUUACAUAGGCUAGUCCCAAAUGUGUCUGCGAAUUUGGGACGAAAUUUAGCAGACUGGUCCUUCCAGAUUUUUGUUACUGAUAAAUGGCAGGAUAAGAU
rnacentral:tmRNA from 1 species